rnacentral:rRNA from 1 species
UACGGAGGGUGCAAACGUUGCUCGGAAUCAUUGGGCGUAAAGCGCACGUAGGCGGCCUGUUAAGUCGGGUGUGAAAUCCCUCGGCUCAACCGGGGAACUGCGUCUGAUACUGGGUGGCUUGAAUCCGGGAGAGGGAUGCGGAAUUCCAGGUGUAGCGGUGAAAUGCGUAGAUAUCUGGAGGAACACCGGUGGCGAAGGCGGCAUCCUGGACCGGCAUUGACGCUGAGGCGCGAAAGCCAGGGGAGCAAAGCGGG